GGCUCUCGGAGCUUCCAGACAUCUCUAGUUCCCGUGACACUUGUAGGGCUACGAGCCAGAGAGAACGCUGGGCACUGUGGUGACUCUUAAUAUUGUGUGAUGUUCUCACAGUACUGGGUUGAUUGCGGUGGGGACGAGCACAGUUGUGACUUCUGGGGCUGCUGCAAUAGCCGACAAUUUCUAACCUUGUUCUGCUCUUAUUGCUUUCUCUGAUGUUUGCUGUUCUCUGUAGCUUACCCCUAAUCCCCAGCAAAAGCCCUGCCAUUAUUGCCAGCAGUGUGAUAGGUAACGUAGCAGGGGCACCGCGAUGUCAAGAUCUACUGAAGUGUUAAUAAAAGGGCUUACUGUGGAGAAAAGGAAAUCCUGCACCUCCAGAGACCUUGCUGAAGCAUCUCAUCUAAUUAACCUCGGAGGUAUCUGGAGAAAUCCCGUGCUUCCAGAUAAGGACACGCCGCACUUACAGUUGCCUACCACCUUUAACACAUCCUCUUCUGCGUGGUCACGUGAAGGUUGCCAGCAUGGGUGAAGAGCUCUGCUGGAGAGCAAGGAGGGAAGCUGCACGCAGUCACCUGCAAACACUGUAAAGAGCGUUCAAAGGUCCCCCUAUCAACUGUAGCCCAGCUGCACCAAGAGACCCUGCUCCUGAUGUCCUUGGCUCCUGCAGGCGCGCAAGAACCAGGCUGGCUGUGUGCUCCAGGUGGAGGAACAAAGGAGCCCUUCAUCUGCUCCUGCAGAGCAGGCUGGUGGCCAGCCCGUAUGUGGUGCUUGGUUCCCUCUGCUGCAGCAGGGAGGUGGGAGAUGUACGCUACCCACCCCUCUCACCCUGAAAGCAAGCCAGCCUGGGAGAAAGCAGCAGCAACUCAGCCUUCUCCAGCCCUGCAGGCAAGUUGUAAGGCAGAAAGAACAGAGAGGGAAGCCGGCUUCCCACCCAGCCGCCCGCGUGGAGCGGAUGCUGUGAGCCAUUUCUGCACAAGCUUCCUGUUUCCUCUCCCCUCUCCUCACGCUGGUGCUCAUCCCUGCAGCUCCUUGCUGCAGGGGGGAGGCUGUGGCACGGCUGACUCAUGCUGCUGGCGUGAUGAGAGCCCCACGCGUGGGCUCCCUGCGGCACCUCUUCGCUCUCCGGCUUUGCUCUGGUAG
rnacentral:lncRNA from 1 species